rnacentral:rRNA from 1 species
UGGCGAACGGGUGAGUAACGCGUGAGGAACCUGCCUCAAAGAGGGGGACAACAGUUGGAAACGACUGCUAAUACCGCAUAAGCCCACGGGUCGGCAUCGACCAGAGGGAAAAGGAGCAAUCCGCUUUGAGAUGGCCUCGCGUCCGAUUGGCUAGUUGGUGAGGUAAUGGCCCACCAAGGCAACGAUCGGUAGCCGGACUGAGAGGUUGAACGGCCACAUUGGGACUGAGACACGGCCCAGACUCCUACGGGAGGCAGCAUG